rnacentral:rRNA from 1 species
GCAAGUCGAGGGGUAACGGAAGUAGCUUGCUACUAGACGACGACCGGCGCACGGGUGAGUAACGCGUAUGUAAUCUGCCUUGUACAGAGGGAUAGCCCAGAGAAAUUUGGAUUAAUACCUCAUAGUAUUACUGGAUCGCAUGAUUUGGUAAUUAAAGCUCCGGCGGUACAAGAUGAACAUGCGUGACAUUAGCUAGUUGGUAAGGUAACGGCUUACCAAGGCUACGAUGUCUAGGGGUUCUGAGAGGAUGAUCCCCCACACUGGUACUGAGACACGGACCAGACUCCUACGGGAGGCAGCAGUGAGGAAUAUUGGUCAAUGGACGCAAGUCUGAACCAGCCAUCCCGCGUGAAGGAUGACUGCCCUAUGGGUUGUAAACUUCUUUUAUAUGCAAAUAAACCUACUUUCGUGAAAGUAGCUGAAGGUAGCAUAUGAAUAAACACCGGCUAACUCCGUGCCAGCAGC